UGUUUUCCCUGUGCUUUUCAGUGCUUCUUUUAGAGAUACGAAGUUAAAACCAGGCUAUCAUUGCCAACUGUAUUCAGCGGAUCCAAUGAAGAAUUCUGCAUCCAGCCCUAGAGAUGUUGGAGACACAAGCUGCAGAUGUCCAGUAAUUUCCUGGAUAGAAAUUUUAUUAUCUGCAAAGAAUGAUAUCACAUCACAAGGAUGUCCAGGUAAUCCAGUUCCCUGUGCACUAUAUUACUACACAUGCCAAAAGAGUUAACACUACCCUUGAGCAAGAAGGUGUAGCACUAGGAGCCUGGUGAAGCCAAACAAGGGUGAAGGCCUGGCCAGAAUGUGACCAAAGGCUCUAUUCCUAGCUUCGGUAACACAUGAAAAAGGACAUUGAGUUCUUCCUUCACUGCAGUCCUGCCUCAAGUGAGCUGUGCCUGUACCCUGGAAAUGGAAACAUUAGCUCUUCCUUUCCUCAACACCUACUUCCUCAGCAUUCUGCAAAGCCUUCAGCUGGAGUGAAGUCUUCCAUGACACAAGAUUUUUCUAAAUCACUUCCUGAUUGAAAACAUUGCUUACAUUGCCCCAGGAUACCCAUUCUUGACCAUGAGGUAUUAUAUUUGAAUAUACACUGAUGGAUUUAGUUUGAUAACAUUUUUAUUACAGAUUUUACAUUCUUGUUUGUA
rnacentral:lncRNA from 1 species